GCCGGCGUCGCUUAACCUGGUAGAGCGGUGGUCUCGAAAACCGCUGUCCGCAAGGACUUGUAGGUUCAAAAAAUUGAAAGUCCUGCCGCCGGCG
rnacentral:tRNA from 1 species